GUGCUUUAGCAGUACAAAUACUAAUAUGGCACAAUCCAGAGAAGAUAAGCAUGGCCCCUCCACAGGGAUAACACACAAAUUCAUGAAAUAUUCCAUAUUCAU